GUUGGAUAAACUUGGAGCAAGCUGGGCUGGUGGAAGGUGUCCCUGCCCAUGGCAGGGGAGUUUGGUACUGAAUGAUCUUCCAUGUCCCUUCCAACCCAACCCACCCUGUGAUUUUGUGAUUAACCACGGGGGUUUCUCAGCAGCCCACCGAGGAGGGCCCUGCACAUUUGUGUCCCAUUAGAGGUGCUGAUAAGCCCUUCCCUGCCAGGCCAGCCCUGCUGAUGCUUGUAGGCCCUUCACAGGGGUGAAUAUAAAUACAAUAAUGAACUACAAACAAACAUUACGAGCAAGGAACUGGUCACAGCUUUGAUUUCUUUCCUGACUGAACACAUCCAGCUGUGACAUCCACUUCUCCCCUCCGGUCUGGGGUGUGACUCAGCAGUGGCCCAAGAGAUUAAUGCUGAACCCAAAUCCUCCCGUUGCUGCUUUAACUGUUUGUUCCCAACUGUUUGCUGUGGAAAUUAUUUCACGGGAUUGGUGAUUGGUGAUUCAGUGCUAUCCAGGGAAUCCCCUUGAACCCCUCAUGGAUUGACUCAUCCCGUUGCUCAUCGGGUCCACCUGCUCAGGGCAUAACUGUGGUAUAAAUCCCCUCCCUGUCAGGGCUGAGGGUCCCAGCUGGGGUGGCACAUGCUGAGUUUGACUUGUUUGUUGACCUUGAUUUUGUGCCUCAUAACCUUGGCCUGGCUGUGAGAGAUUCUAAACUAGUGUUGAUCUAAGAAGUACCUGAACUUCUUCAGCUCUCAGGAAGGUGGCACAGGCAGAUGAGGACCCUGAUCGUGGAUUUUACACACGUGCAGGCAACUGAGGUGUCCUCACCAGUGAAACCAAACUCAACAGCUCUGAUGUGAUUCGGUUCUAAAAUGUUCUUAUAUUCCUCCUGAGGAAGAGGGGGAGAAUCAGCUGGUGAAGCUGAAGUCAAACCAGAAGGGAUUAGAAAGGGCAAGAAGAAUUUCUCCGUGGCAAGGGUGGUCAGGCCUUAGCAGGGGCUGCCCAAGGGGGUGGUGGUGAUGUCCAAGGAAGGAUUAGACAUGGCACUCAGUGCUCUGGGCUAAGGGACAAGGUGGGCAUUGGGCACAGGGUGGACUGGAUGAUCUUGGAGCUCUUUUCCAACCUCAGUGAUUCCCUGAUUCUGUGGUAGAUGGCUGAGAGACAGAAAGUCCAACAAUGCUGCUUCCCACGGGCACAUUUACAGGGUUUAGGCCUCCCAAGGGCUCUGCUCUGAGAAAAAACUUUUCCCCUUUAUCCUUCUGAACGGGAUUUUUGUUCACAGAAGUGGUCCUGUGGUGACAUUCCCUGGAGCUCCUGUACCAGUCAAUGCAGUUAGAGGAUAACCAUGCUUGGAACUCCUGAUGAAGAGUUCAAGGAUCACCUCUCAGUCACAACACUGACUGAGCUCCAGCCUCUGAAGCAAAAAGCCUCUCUGGCGAGCGGGCUGGAGCAGGAGCACUCCAGCCUUGCUGAGUAACGGCAUCAUCUGACCAGAGCUGGCAACCAAACCCCCUUCAGGCAAGUUCAGGGGACAGCUGCCGAGAUCUGGGUCAGCUCAGCUCUGUGGUUGAGUUCAGACUUCAGGGAUAAGGCCUAGGAUAAUGUUCUUUCUCUCUCCUUUUUAGGUAACUGCUUCGAUUCGUAACGAGCCGCCGAUUUUGGAGGCUGCAGAGAGAGAAACUCUGGAGCGUCUGGGACAUGUUUGGCUUUGACAAAGACUUUCCAGCUUCUCAGUUCAGGACAGGCUGGUUUCAGAUAUCUUAUAUUUAACUUUUCUGGGUUUCUUAGUCUAUGUAUUUCUUAACCUGUGAUUUUUUGUUCUUUCCCCCUGAAUCUUCCUGUUCACAGCAAAAACUUUGUGUCAGACACCCUCUGCAUCCCACUCCCAGUGCAGAAAUACAUGGAUGCUCUGGUUUAUUCUCUACCCAAACCAGACAUCUUCUGGGAGGAAAGGGUCACAGGAUGAUGAUGAUGAUUCUUUUUAUAAGCAGAUGUGAGGAAAAGGAACAAACCCUCUUAAGAGCCAGUCCAAAAAUGACCAGAGGCACUGUUUUGCAACCCACUAAAUCCAAACCUCUCUAAUAGCUCUUCCUUCCCUAACCUCUCUUUUUGUCCGGAAGACAAAGGUCAAUUUUGUAUUUUAAAAAAAAAGCCUAUCAAAGAUUUCAUGAUUGCACCGUUGGCCACGGUUCAAACAGUACAGGCAGGAAAGAAUGUCCAGCUGUCAAGUGUAAACACAAAUGGGUACAGCUCAGAAGUGCUUCAGACAAAUCAUUGUAUGUCAUCGGCUGCUUUUAAUUAAGAACAGACCAAAUAUUCUCUCCCCUUCCCCCCCCCCCCCCUCUUUCUUCUCCCCCCUUUUUUCACCCACCCCUUCAGCAACUUAAAACAAAGAUGAUUUGUAGGGUAUUGUCUUCUUGGUGUCUGUCCUGGUGGAAGUCAGCAAGUGAGUAUGGGAAGAGCUCGACUCCAAGUUCAAAGCGGAUUCCGACAUCCCGAGGAGACCACAGAUUGUAAUCUGGGAACUGCAACAGCCAGAGCUUGGACUUGCACCUUCCCACUUUCUGCAGGGAAAGUCUUCCUUUAGGAACAGAACCCCUGUUCUCAUCUCAGUCCCUGUUUCAGAGCAGAUUUCAGGCUGAUCACCUCCAUUGAGGGAGUUCCUUCCUCGUGUGCCUGGUGCUGGCACCAGCUCUGGGCAGGAGGGAAACGUAUUUAAGUUUUAUCCUAUUUUUAGAAGUGAGACAUUAAUCAAUAGACUCUCCUGGGUGGGCCUGAGCUGGAGGCAACACAAAGGAACAGAGGGGAAGUUGUGGUGCACACGUUAUUUGUGUUUAUUUAUCUAGUUUAUGAUCCCUUCUCUGGAUUCCCCACUUUGGUGUUCUGCUGUCGCUGGUACAGUUCUCUUCUGACUCUGAGACUUCCAAAAGUAACAUCCAUCAGUCAAGACCUUAUAUCCAAGGACCUGACCCUGAAAAAAAAUACCUUUACAGUCAUCUCUCUCACAGAAUCAGAGAAUCAUAGAAUAGUCUGGGUUAAAAGGGACCUUAAAGAUCAUUUAAUUCCAACCCCUGCCAUGGGCAGGGACACCUUCCACUAGCCCAGGUUGCUCCAAGCCCUGUCCAACCUGGCCUUGGACACUUCCUGGACUUGCUCUGAGGACACCACAGUGAUAACAAUAAUAAUGUCACUGGUGGUACAUCCUGAAAGGAUUGUGGGGUGGCAUGAAAAAAUCUUCCAUGAUUCUCUACUGCUGUAUCUCCAUACUUCUGCAUUUGCAAGAUGAAUAGGUGGGGAGAGGUUUUUAGCUGUUGCUGUCAUUGAAAUUCCACCUCUUUUGGGCACCAGGAAUUUUCUCUGCCGCUCAAGCAAGAUAGAAGGGGUGUUUUUUUUCCUCAGAGAGCAGUUUGUAGCUCCCCACAUGAAAGGAAUUCCUGGCAGACAUCAUCCCGUGUGCUACAGACCACGGAGAGGAGGAGAUGUGAUUGGGAAAGGCAGCACGGGCUGUUUCCAUGUUUGUUCAUUAGGAAGAGGUAGAAACAAUGAGAAAAAAACCAGUGAAUUGAUGGAAUUAUGGAAUGUCCUGGCAUAGAAGGGACCUCAGAGAUCAUCUGGCUACAACCCCCCUGCCAUGGGCAGGGACAGCUUCCACCAGCCCAGGUUAUGAAACCUGGCCUUGGACACUUCCAGGGAUCCAGGGGCAGCCACAGCUUCUCUGGGAAUUCUACCCCAGCCCCUCCCCACCCUCCCAGCCAGGAAUUCCUUCCCAAUAUCCCAUCUAACCCUGCCCUCCUUCAGUUGAAGGCCAUUCCCACUUGUCCUACACCACAGCUACAUAUUCCUUCUGCUCCAGGCCCAGGUAGUUAGGCUGGAGAAAAGGGAUUUGGGACUUUAUUGCAUCUUCAAACGUUUAAAUACUGUCAAUUAAUGUUAAAUUUAGUGCCUGAAUCUCUGCACAGGGGCUAAACCACUUUCAUGUUUCCUCUCCUUUUCCACCAUUUCUUCCUCUUGCAAAGGAGGAGAACAAUCACAAACCAGUCGGUGGAAACCAAAAGAAGGUGAGAAUUUUAUGAAGGUUCCGUGGAGACACAACAGCUGAGCCUUGUCUCUGUGUCUACAAGCAGCUGAAUUUGUACCAAAAAAAAAACAAACAAACCCAACAAGACAAAAGAAAUGCAAAUGAUGGCAGAAACAUGAGAGGAAUUAAGAAGACAUAUGGAGAUCUCCGUGAAACAUGGCCUCUAAAUUUGCUAGGAAACAUGUUUCCUAUUUGCUUCACACGUUCCAGUGUCUGGUUUGAGUGCAGCAGAAGCAGCUUUUCUUUCUAUUCCGUGGGGGGUUGGUGUAAUAUGUGUAUUAAUUUAUGAAACAUAACUCAGUGCCCACAUGUAUGUAUUUGGCACAUUAAUUGUGACUGUUCUAUAUAACAUACAUGCAUUAAAGUGUGUUUAUGGCA